CGGAUAGUAGCGCAGUUGGUAGCGUACCACGUUCGGGACGUGGGGGUCGGGAGUUCGAGUCUCCUCUAUCCGACCA
rnacentral:tRNA from 1 species